UACGUAGGGGGCGAGCGUUGUCCGGAUUUAUUGGGCGUAAAGAGCGUGUAGGCGGUUCGGUAAGUCUGUCGUGAAAUCCUGAGGCUCAACCUCGGGCGUGCGAUGGAUACUGCCGGGCUAGAGGAUGGUAGAGGCGAGUGGAAUUCCCGGUGUAGCGGUGAAAUGCGCAGAUAUCAGGAGGAACACCGGUGGCGAAGGCGGAUCUCUGGGCCUUACCUGACGCUGAGGCGCGAAAGCUAGGGGAGCGAACAGG
rnacentral:rRNA from 1 species